GCUAGUUGCAGGGUCCACAUUGCAGACACUGCAUGCCUGGUACAGUAAGUGUGUGUCUGUAGGUGGACAUUGUCAGCCGAAGUGGGGAGAAGAUUCCCGUCUCUGUGUGGAUAAAGAGGUUGCAACAAGAUCGUGGCUUGUGCUGUGUAGUGGUUCUGGAGCCUGUGGAGAGGGUCUCAGCCUGGGUCGCCUUCCAGAGUGAUGGAACUAUCACGUCAUGCGACAGCCUCUUUGCUCAUCUUCAUGGGUUCACAUCUCCAAAGGAUGUGGUUGGGCAGUGUGUCAUAGACUUGAUUCCAUCUAUACAGCUCCCUCCUCCUGGCCAACAUGUCCCAAAGAGUCUCAAGAUUCAAAGGUCUGUUGGGAGAGCCAGAGACGGGACCACCUUCCCUCUCAGUCUGAAGUUGAAAUCUAAGACCAGUGGAAAGGCUGUAGCUGAAAGUGAGGUGGCCUCAGAACCAGGUUACCAGGCUUCUGUGUGGGUGUUCUGCACCAUCAGUGGCCUCAUCACUCUCCUGCCUGAUGGCACAAUUUA
rnacentral:lncRNA from 1 species